GACGAACGCUGGCGGCGUGCUUAACACAUGCAAGUCGAACGGAAAGGCCCUGCUUGCAGGGUACUCGAGUGGCGAACGGGUGAGUAACACGUGGGUGAUCUGCCCUGCACUUCGGGAUAAGCCUGGGCAACUGGGUCUAAUACCGGAUAGGAGCCACUUCCAGUGUGAUGGUCGGAAAGCUUUUUCGGUGUAGGAUGAGCUCGCGGCCUAGCAGCUUGUUGGUGGGGUAAUGGCCUACCAAGGCGGCGACGGGUAGCCGGCCUGAGCGGGUGGACGGCCACAUUGGGACUGAGAUACAGCCCGGACUCCAACGGGAGCCAGCAGUGGGAGAUAUUGCACAAUGGGCGCAAGCCUGAUGCGACGGCGCCGCGUGGGGGAUGGCGACCUUCGGGUUGUAAACUCCUUUCGCUAGGGACGAAGCUUUUGUGACGGUACCUAGAGAAGAAGCACCGGCUGCCUUCGUG
rnacentral:rRNA from 1 species